AUUUUAAUCACAGCUCACAUAGCAACUGGGAGACAAAGAGCUAGCCUCCAUUUUCCUCCAGAAGUUAUGGUGCCUGCAUUUCAGAGAAUAAUACAUUCACGUGAAGUGACAGUGAUCAGAGUCAUAAAAAUGAGUGGUGAGGAAGCAUUUUCAAGCACACACGCUGGCUUUUAAGACAAUAAUCGGUCCCAGCUCAGAACACACUGCACAGUGAAAGAAGCACGUGGACCUCUCUCCCACCUGUGGCCGGCAGACCACCCUGUUCUUGCCCACAUGUGGCAGCGCUUUAACGAGGCUGGCAAAGAGGGAUGGAUGUUGUGCCUGACUGAACAAGGACUCUCUGAACAGGAUCACAGGAAAAUGGAUGGAUGAGAGACUGCUGGGAAGACACUGUCUGAAGAAAGGACCAGUCAGCUGUCCUGUACUUUUGCUGCUCUUAAGGGCUACUUUGCCAAUUCAGAGGAAACGCCAAGCAUCACAAAGCAUUUUAGUAAAGAUUAAGGGAAAGCAGACCUGAAUUAAAACAUUUAACAGAACAAAGGACUUGAGACAGAAGAAUUCCCCAGAUGUCUGGCUUAGUUCAAUGAUUUAUUGCUCUGAUCCCUAUUUGAAUGGACAGGAAAAAGAACAGGCUCACCUACAUGAACCAGGAAUUAGCCCACGGAUAUGACGGUGGAUAAGCUAAAGGCAAAGAAGAAUCACUUCCAAAUUUAUUGCAUUAAGUUACCUGAGUUUUACGUUUUGGCUGGAGGCUGCGUGGCUGAUUCGGCUUUCUUUGACGAUGAUGAAUUUCAGAAAGAAUUUCACGUGUGGACCCAGAUGUGUGUUGUGAAGAUCUCCGUUACAGAAUACCGAGAACCGAAGCGCAGUAUAUACAGGUGUCAGCUGAGGAACAAACUGGAGGCAACAAGUCA